CUCGAUGUAGCUCAGUCUGGUAGAGCGCCUGGUUUGGGACCAGGAGGCCGGCGGUUCGAAUCCGCCCGUCGAGACCA
rnacentral:tRNA from 1 species